AUUCAUUUGCUAGUAAGAGGCCUCGAGUACCGACAUUCCUGGUCUGUCUUGUAACUGUCAAUGCAGUUAAACAGUCUCCAUGUAGUGAAGCCACAUGUUACCUAAGCAAGGAUAUGGAUAUGCUAUCAUUGAUAUGAGGGAACACUGAUGGGCCGCUGCAACUUCUAAAAGCAAGGUGAGAUACGUUAUACAUACAUCACAUAUAUUGAAACAGAUAAUGCCCGUUUUCAAGAUUUAUGUUAAUUAGGUUUUGAAUUGACCAAUGAUAUGCAUUGCAAUGUGUUAUAGACUAUAGUGAUUGCACUUACAGCAUAUGCUUAGUUUGUGCUAAAGAAAAACAUAAUACAGUCCAAAUGUCUGAAAAAUUGCCACUUAUUUUUGUAAAUUUGGAUAGUUUGUGUUUGCGGAGGACAAAUUAAAGUUCGCAUGUCCAGAAAAAUGCUUCUCAACAUAGUAAUUAGUUAUUUGUGUUGUUUUCUUUUUGCAGGCAGAGUUGAGGGCACUGGUAUUAACAAGUCCGUCCGUUUGUUUACUCAAUGGAUGAAUCUGAUGGUACCCAAUAUUGACCUUUGUUAAAGAUUUAUUACUUUCACUAGUGAGCAAGUGUAUAAUUGUCACAAAUGAAUGCUGAAUUGAAAGUUAAGUUAGUGGUAGUGAUUUGGCCGACUGUUAUGGCAUAUACUAUCAGAGACCGCUAAGUAGGGGAGAACCUUAGCUAUUCCUGAGUGUAUACACCCGAUUACAAUUAAGAUUUUCUCUAUUCAGUAGUACAACAACAACAACAACAACAAAGCAUUUUCCCACUAAGUGGGGUCGGCUAUAUGAAUCCUAGAACGCCAUUGCGCUCAUUUGUGUCAUGUCCUCCGUUAGAUCCAAGUACUCAAGUCUUUUCUUAGAGUCUCUU
rnacentral:lncRNA from 1 species